GAUGAACGCUGGCGGCGUGCCUAAUACAUGCAAGUCGAGCGAACAGACGCAGUACUUGCUCCUUCGACGUUAGCGGCGGCGGGGAGCGUAACACGUGGGUAACCUACCUAUACGCCUGGGAUAACUUCGGAAAACCGCAGCUACUCACAGAUAACCUGUUCAACCUCAUUGUUCAAUAGUGAAAGCCGGUCUUGCUGUCACUUAUAGAUGGAUCCGCGCCGCAUUAGCUAGUUGGUAAGGUAACGGCUUAGCAGGGCAACGAUGCGUAGCCGACCUGAGAGGGUGAUCGGCCACCCUGGAACUGAGACACGGUCCAGACUCCUACGGGAGGGAGCAGUAGGGAAUCUUCCGCAAUGGGCGAAAGCCUGACGGAGCAACGCCGCGUGAGUGAAGAGGGUCUACGGAUCGUAAAUCGUUGUUAGUAGGGAAGAACAAAUGUGUAAGUAACUAGGCACGUCUUGACGGUACCUAAUCAGAAAGCCACGGCUAACUACGUG
rnacentral:rRNA from 1 species